rnacentral:rRNA from 1 species
GAAUUUUAUAAAUUAAAAAUAAAAAAUUUAGAGAUUUAAAAAAAUUUUAUAUUUAUUUAGUUGGGGGGAUUGUUAAAUUAAAUAAACUUUAAUUAUAAAUAAAAGUCAUAUAUUAAUGAUAAUAAAGAAUAAUGUAUAAAUUAAAUAAGAAUUAAUUACCUUAGGGAUAACAGCGUAAUAUUAUUGGAGAGAUCUUAUUGAUAAUAAUGAUUGC